CUCGCGCUCUUUUUUUUCCAUGCUCCUCUCCCGGCGCCUGUUCCAGGCGGCGGCGGACAGGCUCCUCUCCCGACGGCGGCCCUCCCCACUCCAGCGACGGCGAGGGGCGAAGGGCGGCGGCGUCCUGUUGAGCCGGCUGAGCAGGCGGCGUCCUGUUGAGCCGGCUGAGCAGGCGGCGGCGACGGCCCUCCCCACUCCGGCGCGCCCGUCCUCUCCUAGCGGUGGCCAUCCCCACUCCGGCGGAGGCCCUCCUCUCCCGGCGGUGGCGGCGCCUUGUCGAGUCGGCUGAGCAGGCAGCGGCGGCGGCCGUCCCGCGACGCUCUCCCUCCACCCCUGCGCGGCCCCCGCGCCGCCACGCACCGCGCUGCCCCGCUCCCGCGACUGCUUCGCGCCCGGCACCCGUCCAUCUCACACCCGCCGCGACACUUUGGUAGUCUCCGUCGAGCCGUUGCUGUCGUCGAGCCGUUGCUGUCGACUCCGAGCAACAAGGCUCCCCCGAGCCUCCCGAGUAGGAUUCACACUCAAAGGACAAUGAUGGAAAGGAAGACGGCAGUUCUCAGAAUGGCAUACCUUAUUCAGCCUGAGAAGAUCAAUGGGUACAGUCCCUCGACAUGUAUUUGCUUAUCUUUAUGAAGUAUAAUAAUUAUACUAAAAUCUUGAUCUUCGAGGAUAUGUCUUGUUUAGUUGGUACAGUAUUUCUUGCUUUGUAGAACCAAAUACUGUUUUUUUAUAUUCACUGUAUUGAUAGUGCUAUUCUAGAUAACCAUUUUGAAGUAGCAAUUCCAGAGACAAACUAUUUGAUGCCCUGUUGUUUCCAUUUUCCAUGUUCAGCUAAAAAUUUCCUAGGUUCCUCUGAACACCGUCCUUUAAACUUAGUAAACAACAAAAGAAUAGCUAGCAGCAAGCUAUAGGGUCUUCACACUGAUUUUUAAAUUUGUGGUUGGUGGAUGAGUUAUGGGGAUCAUCUUUUGAAAUGCUCAAUCUUAUUUUUUCUUUGUGUGUGGUAAACAUAAUCUACUAAUAAGGAUAUGAAUGAGCAGAACGACGGCGAUGGCAGUGGCCACCAGAAGCAGCCUGAUUCCGAUGCCCAACCUGGCAACGAGUCUUGACCUGUUUAGCCCAGGAUUGUUGUAACACGGCAUUGCCAUUUAUUUUCUCGAACAAAUAUUGAACAGAAAAUAGGACAAGGGCUGUCUAUGAGAUUGGGCCGCCAUCUUGGAUACAGAAAGAGAUGAACAACAACUCAAUAGCAAAGCAUCUUGUAAGAAUAAUAAUUUUUCAUGUGUAAUGUUGAGGAAGAAGUACAAGAACUACCUGAAGGCGAUAGUGGACAAGCUUGUCAGUAACGUAAGAAUAACUUUUGCAUGCUUUAUACUAAGUUUCACACUAGAUCCAGUGCUAACUAUGGUGGUUUGCAUAUGGACUAGGUCAUUAUUUUCUAUUGCUUUUUCAGGCACAAGCUAACCGCAGGCUCAAGCGAAUCCUUGAGGAAACAAGAGAGGCUGAUGGUGAAAGUGAUAUACGAGAGAGGAUGCAGAGACUGAAAGUGUGUGUACACUUGCUUGUACUAUCAGGGACUAUCAUUUACUUUCUUUACAGAGUUCGAUCGAAGCAGUUCCUGACGGUCCCCAUUUCAUGUGUUUUUACUACCACGGCACUGAGCACUGAUCUCUCGCUGUUGCUCUGUUUGAUAUUGAACAGUAAAGCCAUUUA